UACGUAGGGCGCAAGCGUUGUCCGGAAUUAUUGGGCGUAAAGAGCUCGUAGGCGGCCUGUUACGUCUGCUGUGAAAUCCCGGGGCUUAACCCCGGGCGUGCAGUGGAUACGGGCAGGCUGGAGGCAGGCAGGGGAGAACGGAAUUCCCGGUGUAGCGGUGAAAUGCGCGGAUAUCGGGAGGAACACCGGUGGCGAAGGCGGUUCUCUGGGCCUGUACUGACGCUGAGGAGCGAAAGCGUGGGGAGCGAACAGG
rnacentral:rRNA from 1 species